rnacentral:lncRNA from 10 species
ACUGGAUUAUUUGAGGCCCUCUGUCUGAGGUGAGGCCCGCCUCAGUCCUCCCUCAGCGUCUUACCUUGCCUCCUCACCGAGCCUGGGCCGGCUUCCCUCCGCCGACGUCAGGCCGUCGCUCGUUGCUCAGGGCGAGAAUCUCGCGGUCUUCUGACCUCCAAUGCGCAAGUCAGUGGCGUCACAUCCUGGCAACGGUACUACCCUGGGUUCCGGGCAGGGGUGGAACUGGAUUCUGCCUGGAUGGGGAUCGGAUGGGGGUGGAGGUUUGAUUUGGGAAGCAGAGCACAGCAGCCCAAAUUUGUUGUAAUGGCGGCGGCUACAGGUUUCCUAGGUGUCCCCUGGGCUAGAGAAUGCUGCGUUUGCUACGCCGGGUCAGGACUUGGCAUAUGGCAUAAGACACACAGAGAGAGCCUUGCUGGUGUAGCUGAGAUUUACGACCCUCAUCCAACCAAACCAUUUCAGAUUCUUGGGGCUCAGAGCUCUCAUCGGAAAGACAUCUAUUCUGGGAGCAGGUAUAUCUCUUGCUGAGCAUGUGCUUCCACCCUGGAGGUGUCUUGGGUGAGCAUAGGUACCCUUGUGACUAUGAAGAUUGACAAAAAGUUGACGGCAACGAUGAAUUCUCUUCCAGAACUUACAUCCCAGAAGGCCCUCCCCUACUUCGGGUCUCCCUAGAGAGUGGAGAGACCUGCUGCCCUUGAAGAAGCAAACAGCCAUGUUGUGAGCUGCCUAAGCCUCUAGGUCUUGAGGGAAGCUUACAGUUAAGAGCCAGCAAAAGCCAGGGCCCUCAGUCAUGCCACACAAGGAAACGAAUCCUGCCAGCAACUAUGGGGGCUUGGAAGAGGAUAUUAAGCUUCAGUUGAGAAUGCAGCCUGACUGACACCAUCAUUGCAGCCUUGUGAGACCCCAAUCAGAGGACCCAGCUGAGCUGUACCCAGACUCCUAACCCACGGAAACUGAGAAAAUAAAUGUGUGCUAUUUAUAGCUGCU